rnacentral:lncRNA from 10 species
CUUGCUGAAGCUGUCCUGACCUCAAGGAAACAGCCAUCUCAAAGCCAGGCCCACCUGGCUGAGCUGAGCUCACGAUGCUCUUGUGUUUUAAACUUUCUUAAGCCCUUUGUACUUAAGACAAUCAAGCUUCUUUUAUAAACAGUGACUGUCUACGGUGUUUUAAGUCACCAUAGGAAUCCAUGACCCACUGGGGGAAAAUUCCCAAGUCCUGUGUGACAUAAGGCUUAAAGUAUCACAUAAGGGUUAGAGAAAACUAUACAACUGUUAAAAAAUAUUUUCAGAAACUAGUUGUAUUUUGCAAUUAUAGAAUACUUCAAAUCACAAGUAAACCAAGCUCCACUGAAAGUCUGACUCACUACCAAUUCCUCUUCUUACAUGUUUCUCAGUGUUCCCUGACCUGGUACAAGAUCCCAAUACUCCCCCAAAUUUAAUUUCUUCACAAAAUAGAGACUAUCCCAGUAGAACCCACUAGAAUUCACAUUGAGGAAGAUAAGAGAAGCAGAAUGACAAAUACAUAUAAAAAUGAAAAAAAAAGGGAUUAAAAUGAAAGAAAGAGUAUCAUAAUGGGACAGCCUCUUGAAAUAGGAAACUCCGUCCUGAAAACUCUGUCAUGACCUUGCUUGCAAGUAAGGAAAAUUAUGCUGUCUUUAGGAGUAAAAUACGAUGUAAACCCUUGCUCUUAAUAUAAGCAUUUAAUAUAUAAAUAGAAAGUAAAUAGACUAUGAAAAUGUUUCUCAGCUAAAAACCGGGAAGGAUGUCUAAUAGACAAAGGCUGAAGAACCAAAGUUCCUGAGGUCUGAUAAUCAUCUUUUUUAAAGAUGGCUGCCUGCCUGGAGAUGAGGCAGAGAAUCUAUCGCCUUAUUAACUUUUAGUUGACAGAUUAAGGUUGUAAAAUAAGAAUGGUUUUCAGAACUGUGGAUAAGCACCGACUGAAACUUUCUCUCCUUUGCCUCUUUUAUACAGAAAACACAAUACUCUGAGGCCUUGGAAUAUGUUUCUUUUUAAAUGGCCCCACCAACCAGAAAAUCAGAUAUGGCAAAGAGGCACUGGCUCCUGAAUAUCUGUGCAAAUAAGCAGAAAGAAAAACAGAACAAACAAAACAUCGCUUACUACUAAUAAUAGGACAGCAUUAUUUCCACACAAGACUGAUGAAACACUGCAGUUACAAACUACUUUGUGUUUGUGUGUCUUGACUUUGUUGUUUGCUUUGUUUUUUUAAUCACCAUCUCCAUUCCGGGGGCCAUUUUUAUCAUAUAUCUCCAAGAAAUAUAUGGGUAUAAGCAUACAUAGAAACAGCAGGCAUCAAUUUCUAAAAAC